AUACUACUCCCUCCGUUCGGAAUUACUUGUCUCGGAAAUGGAUGUAUCUAGAACUAAAAUACAUCUAGAUACAUCCAUUUCUGCGACAAGUAAUUCCGAACGGAGGAAGUACCUU
rnacentral:pre_miRNA from 1 species